AUGGCUCAGCCCGAGACGGCCCUCUCUCCUCACUCUCUCUCAUUCUUUCUGCCUCGAUUGUCUCAAAAAAAAUAUAUUCUUUCUGCCUCGAGCCCUCACCCUGUCUCCAGCACCGCCGCCGCCGACCAAUCCCGGCACGCUCCGCCGCCUUUCUGCACACCCACAGCUGCGGCCACCGCUGGGACUUCGUUGUUCCAGGUCGCCGCCGCGCGUGGCCGUCGUCCCCGCGCCGGCGCGAUCCUCUCCUUCACCUCCGCGGCCGCGGCCGCCCCGUCGUCUUCGUCCCAAGGGUAAUUCAUUCAGAGCCAGCGCAAGGAGGAGCACAGGCUGGACUGGUGCUACCUGCUGGACGAGGACAACCGCCACAUCUUCCUCCACGAGCUACACCCCCUCCUCGCCCAGGCCCAGCAGACCACCACCACCGGCAGCAGCAACAAUGCCUGUGUCGUCGCGUGCGGCGCCGCCGCCGCCAAGGACCACCUCUUCAAGGGGUCGCAGGACCAGCCGGGCCUGGUCACCAUCGCAAUGGAGGAGAUCCUCCAGUUCGCUGCAUCCAUCAGCGGUGCCGUCAAGGUCUCAUCCUACCUGGUGGUCCAGGACACCCACAUCUUUGAUCUGCUGGAGCCCAAGGAGCAAGAGGUUCUGGUGCUGGAUGAUGCCCAGGGGAAGACCCAUCUCAAGGGCCUGUCCAAGGUUCAUGUGAAGUCAAUUGAGGAUUUUUUGCAGUUGGGUUGUUUUGAUGGAAACCAGGACAAGCAGCAACCCGCUAAACCUUUUUCUACCCAGCAGCGACCAACUAAAGCUUCUUCUACCCAGCUACCCACCAAGGGGCAUCAAGGGCUCAUAUCUAGCUCUGAUCAGGACGGCAAAGAACGUGCUGUGGCCAAGAUUAACUUUCUCAGCCUCACAGACUAUGUAGAUCCCAAGCAGAAAACUGGCAGUGCUCUGUCGAGCAACAAGACCAUGUACACCUUGAUGAAUGUCGUGCAAGCGCUCAACAGCAACCAGAACUUUGUGCCCUAUAGGCAGAGCAAAGUUACUCGUAUUUUGCAGGAUUCUUUGUGCAAGACGAGCGGGGCUGUGGUGAUCGCCUGCUUGGAAGAAGUUUCCUGCCAAGAUACAAUCUCUACUCUUAGCUUGGCCGCACGCUCUAGUCAAGCGGCUAAUGAGCAAUGCCGCAGAUCCGUAAGUGUUACAAGUUUCAAAAGAGCAGGUGUUAACUCAUCUGCAGUUGCUAAAAGCUCCUCAAGGCCAAUUCUUUCUUCUAUGCACCAACCAAAUCCCGUGGCAGGGAAGCAGGAUCUGCCCCAAUGGAAUGUGGGCGUAGUAAAAGCAAUUGACAAUAAGAGGUAG
rnacentral:rRNA from 1 species